rnacentral:sRNA from 1 species
UCUUCCAUGGGGGGAGCCCUGCGCCCUGUGCCCUGCCCUCCCCUCUCCGGCUCCCUGAGAUUCGGGGGCUCUGGGGCGCAGGCCAUGUGGAGGAUGUGCUGCUCAUCAUGGAUGUGUACAAAUUGGCACUGAGCUUCCAGUUGUGCCGCCUGGAGCAGCUGUGCCGCCAGUACAUCGAGGCCUCCGUGGACCUGCAGAACGUGCUGGUCGUGUGCGAGAGUGCCGCCCGGCUGCAGCUGAGCCAACUCAAGGUGAUCAUGAUGAAGGAGUUCGAGCGCCUCUCCUCUCCACUGAUAGUGGAGAUUGUGCGGCGGAAGCAGCAGCCGCCCCCUCGCACUCCCUUGGACCAGCCAGUGGACAUUGGCACAUCUCUGAUCCAGGACAUGAAGGCAUACCUGGAGGGAGCGGGCGCGGAAUUCUGUGACAUCACUCUGUUGCUUGACGGGCACCCACGGCCAGCCCACAAGGCUAUCCUGGCCGCCCGCUCCAGCUACUUUGAAGCCAUGUUCCGGUCCUUCAUGCCCGAG